rnacentral:rRNA from 1 species
UUGACCUCGAAUCAGGUAGGGAUACCCGCUGAACUUAAGCAUAUCAAUAAGCGGAGGAAANNNNNNNUAGUGCUCUCCGCGUAGUCACUUAUCUCGCGAGAGGGUGGUGCUGGACCCAGCCAAGCAACCGAGGUGGUCCGAUGGGAACCGUCGGGCCCUCGCUCUCUCUAUGGUUGACCUCGAAUCAGGUAGGGAUACCCGCUGAACUUAAGCAUAUCAAUAAGCGGAGGAAAAGAAACCAACCGGGAUUACCUCAGUAACGGCGAGUGAAGCGGUAACAGCUCAAAUUUGAAAUCUGGCUCCCCUCGCGCGGAGUCCGAGUUGUAAUUUGUAGAAGAUGCUUUGGGUGCUCGGCCCGGUCUAAGUUCCUUGGAACAGGACGUCGUAGAGGGUGAGAAUCCCGUAUGCGGCCGGGACGCACGCCCGUGUAAAGCUCUUUCGACGAGUCGAGUUGUUUGGGAAUGCAGCUCAAAAUGGGUGGUAAAUUUCAUCUAAAGCUAAAUAUGGGCCAGAGACCGAUAGCGCACAAGUAGAGUGAUCGAAAGAUGAAAAGCACUUUGGAAAGAGAGUUAAACAGUACGUGAAAUUGUUGAAAGGGAAGCGCUUGCAACCAGACUUGGGCGUCGCGGAUCAUCCAAAGUUUUCUUUGGUGCACUCGGCGAUGCACAGGCCAGCAUCGGUUGGGGUGGUGGGAGAAAGGUCGUAGGAACGUAGCUCCUUUCGGGGAGUGUUAUAGCCUGCGGCGCAAUGUCGCCUACCCUGACCGAGGACCGCGCUUCGGCUAGGAUGCUGGCGUAAUGGUUGUAAGCGACCCGUCUUGAAACACGGACCAAGGAGUCUAACAUCUAUGCGAGUGUUUGGGUGCAAAACCC